GAAAAGGCCCCAAGGACACCACCCUCCAGCCCAGGAGCCUGAGGAGGCCGUGCCCUGUGAGUGUCCCCACUAUGGCCUGGACGGUGCUCCUGCUCGGGCUCCUCACUUACAGCUCAGGUGUGGAUUCUCAGACUGUGGUCACCCAGGAGCCGUCGCUGUCUGUGUCUCCAGGAGGGACGGUCACACUCACCUGUGGCCUUAGUUCUGGGUCAGUCUCUAGUAGUAGUCACUACCCCAGCUGGUACCAGCAGACCCCAGGCAAGGCUCCCCGCAUGCUCAUCUAUAGCACAAACAGCCGGCCCUCUGGGGUCCCUGAGCGCUUCUCUGGAUCCAUCUCUGGGAACAAAGCCAUCCUCACCAUCACGGGGGCCCAGCCUGAGGACGAGGCCGACUAUCACUGUGCUCUAUACACGGGUACUUCUCCUCCUAAUGGGUCUGGGAGGCAAGAAAAGGCCCCAAAGACACCUCCUUCCACCCCAGGUGCCUGAGGAAGCCGUGUCCUGAGUGUGCCUCCAC